GCCCUCGUGGUGUAGUGGUCAACACACUCGGCACGUAUUCGAAAGGCCCGUGGUUCGAAUCCCUUCGUGGGCA
rnacentral:tRNA from 1 species